CCUACGGGAGGCAGCAGUGAGGAAUAUUGGUCAAUGGCCGGAAGCCUGAACCAGCCAAGCCGCGUGAAGGACGAAGGUCCUAAGCAUUGUAAACUUCUUUUGCCAAGGGACAAAAACAGGCUCGAGUACCUGACCGAGGGUACUUGAAGAAAAAGAAUCGGCUAACUCCGUGCCAGCAGCCGCGGUAAUACGGGGGAUGCGAGGGUUAUCCGGAUUUAUUGGGUUUAAAGGGUGCGUAGGCGGAGUGUUAAGUCAGCGGUAAAAGCCCGGGGCUAAACCCGGACGAGCAGUUGAUACUGGCUGGCUUGAGAUGUCGAGAGGUAGGCAGAAUGCGCGGUGUAGCGGUGAAAUGCGUAGAGA
rnacentral:rRNA from 1 species